GAGGAAGGGCGCAGCGUCCCCUCCCCCUACGGGGGUCAGUUAGGAAGCUCUGCCCGGCGCAGACUAGGCCCUGGGCAGCGGGAUUGGGUCCCAGCCAUUGCGGUAAGCUCCCCGACUCCAGAUCUGCAGCCCCAGGAGGCCCCAAGCCCACUGCGCCCCCCGCGCACUUUAACCCGACCGAGAGGAGGUAGACUGGGGAAAACUGGAACUCGCGUAGGCACGCCCAGGACAGCUCCGAGAAACGCCCGGGAGCCCUUGUCAUACGAGGAUAUUGACAACUGGAAAGCCUUCCCGCAACGACAGGGCCCCUGGCUGAGUGGGUAGCAGGAAAGGACAAAGAUGCUUUGGAAGAAGCACACACACACACUCAUGGGAGGCUUCACGUGUGCCUAG